rnacentral:rRNA from 1 species
AGUGGCGAACGGGUGAGUAACACGUGAGUAACCUGCCCCUGACUCUGGGAUAAGCGUUGGAAACGACGUCUAAUACUGGAUAGGACUACUGGCCGCAUGGUCUGGUGGUGGAAAGAUUUUUUGGUUGGGGAUGGACUCGCGGCCUAUCAGCUUGUUGGUGAGGUAAUGGCUCACCAAGGCGACGACGGGUAGCCGGCCUGAGAGGGUGACCGGCCACACUGGGACUGAGACACGGCCCAGACUCCUACGGGAGGCAGCAGUGGGGAAUAUUGCACAAUGGGCGAAAGCCUGAUGCAGCAACGCCGCGUGAGGGAUGACGGCCUUCGGGUUGUAAACCUCUUUUAGUAGGGAAGAAGCGAAAGUGACGGUACCUGCAGAAAAAGCACCGGCUAACUACGUGCCAGCAGCCGCGGUAAUACGUAGGGUGCAAGCGUUGUCCGGAAUUAUUGGGCGUAAAGAGCUCGUAGGCGGUUUGUCGCGUCUGCUGUGAAAUCCCGAGGCUCAACCUCGGGCUUGCAGUGGGUACGGGCAGACUAGAGUGCGGUAGGGGGAGAUUGGAAUUCCUGGUGUAGCGGUGGAAUGCGCAGAUAUCAGGAGGAACACCCGAUGGCGAAGGCAGAUCUCUGGGCCGUAACUGACGCUGAGGAGCGAAAGCAUGGGGAGCGAACAGGAUUAGAUACCCUGGUAGUCCAUGCCGUAAACGUUGGGCGCUAGAUGUAGGGACCUUUCCACGGUUUCUGUGUCGUAGCUAACGCAUUAAGCGCCCCGCCUGGGGAGUACGGCCGCAAGGCUAAAACUCAAAGGAAUUGACGGGGGCCCGCACAAGCGGCGGAGCAUGCGGAUUAAUUCGAUGCAACGCGAAGAACCUUACCAAGGCUUGACAUACACCGGAAACGGCCAGAGAUGGUCGCCCCCUUGUGGUCGGUGUACAGGUGGUGCAUGGUUGUCGUCAGCUCGUGUCGUGAGAUGUUGGGUUAAGUCCCGCAACGAGCGCAACCCUCGUUCUAUGUUGCCAGCGCGUUAUGGCGGGGACUCAUAGGAGACUGCCGGGGUCAACUCGGAGGAAGGUGGGGAUGACGUCAAAUCAUCAUGCCCCUUAUGUCUUGGGCUUCACGCAUGCUACAAUGGCCGGUACAAAGGGCUGCGAUACCGUAAGGUGGAGCGAAUCCCAAAAAGCCGGUCUCAGUUCGGAUUGAGGUCUGCAACUCGACCUCAUGAAGUCGGAGUCGCUAGUAAUCGCAGAUCAGCAACGCUGCGGUGAAUACGUUCCCGGGCCUUGUACACACCGCCCGUCAAGUCAUGAAAGUCGGUAACACCCGAAGCCGGUG